AGAGUUUGAUCCUGGCUCAGAAUCAACGCUGGCGGCGUGCCUCAGACAUGCAAGUCGAACGAUUAAACUCUUCUUCGGAAGAGAUAUAAAGUGGCGCACGGGUGAGUAACACGUAGGUAAUUUACCUCUGGGUGGGGAAUAACUUGUGGAAACGCAAGCUAAUACCGCAUGAUGCAGCGGCUCCUGAUGGAGACAGUUGUUAAAGCUUUAUGUGCCUGGAGAGAAGCCUGCGGCAGAUGAGGUAGUUGGUAAGGUAAUGGCUUACCAAGCCUGCGAUCUGUAUCCGGCCUGAGAGGGCGGUCGGACACACUGACACUGAAUAACGGGUCAGACUCCUACGGGAGGCAGCAGUCGGGAAUUUUGGGCAAUGGGCGCAAGCCUGACCCAGCAACGCCGCGUGAAGGAUGAAGUAUUUCGGUAUGUAAACUUCGGAAGAAUGGGAAGAAUAAAUGACGGUACCAUUUUUAAGCCCCGGCUAACUCCGUGCCAGCAGCCGCGGUAAUACGGGGGGGGCAAGCGUUGUUCGGAUUUACUGGGCGUAAAGGGCGCGUAGGCGGUUAGGCAAGUCACUUGUGAAAUCUCCGGGCUUAACUCGGAACUGCCAAGUGAUACUGCCAAACUAGAGUGCAGAAGGGGCAAUCGGAAUUCUUGGUGUAGCGGUGAAAUGCGUAGAUAUCAAGAGGAACACCUGAGGCGAAGGCGGAUUGCUGGGCUGACACUGACGCUGAGGCGCGAAAGCUAGGGUAGCAAACGGGAUUAGAUACCCUAGUAGUCC
rnacentral:rRNA from 1 species